GGUUGGCUAAUCCUGGUCGGACAUCAGGAGGUUAGUGCAAUGGCAUAAGCCAGCUUGACUGCGAGCGUGACGGCGCGAGCAGGUGCGAAAGCAGGUCAUAGUGAUCCGGUGGUUCUGAAUGGAAGGGCCAUCGCUCAACGGAUAAAAGGUACUCCGGGGAUAACAGGCUGAUACCGCCCAAGAGUUCAUAUCGACGGCGGUGUUUGGCACCUCGAUGUCGGCUCAUCACAUCCUGGGGCUGAAGUAGGUCCCAAGGGUAUGGCUGUUCGCCAUUUAAAGUGGUACGCGAGCUGGGUUUAGAACGUCGUGAGACAGUUC
rnacentral:rRNA from 1 species